UCAUCACAGGGGUAAAAUAAAGAGUAGAUAAGGCGGCAGCGGCUAAUGAUGAUUUUUCUCCCAGCGUCCAGAAUGAAAGCUACAAAUGGGCGAUAAAAAGCCCAAAAAGGUGUCACAGAAAGAUUUCAGAGAGCCGACAGAGGCUAAUCACUUGGGUGAAGACAAAGACAGCCCAAUCACUUUUAUGACUUGCUCAGAAUGCUGCUGCAUGGAUAAUAGUUUUUUUCCUCAUGGUUUACAAAUGUGCAGAGGAAUAUCUGCCUUGUUACAGCUGUGGAGAGAGGAUCUGGCCCUGCUGCGUUGAGCCUUAUUCUGCUGAGGCUUUGAUCACGAGGUUCACACAGGCGACGGAAAUAUACCACCUAACAGGGGAAGAGCUGUAGUGCUGCAGUGCCUGCACAGUGGGUGGGGGGGUUGAGGCAGGGACUUUCCAAGGCAAGAAAAAGUCAGCAACUUAAGAAGAAUAGCACCAUCUCCUAUGGUCUCACUCCCCAUGAUUUUCUUUGUUCAGCCAGAAUUUUCAGACAACAUUUUGACAUGGGAAACCUGAGUGUUAAAACACCCACGCUCAUCGGUUUGUCACUCAACCGCUCAAUUGGCAUAAUUUAAGCCAAUUUAGAAGCUUCCCUCUGUUGAGAGCGAAGGGGUUAGAAACCACGUGUUGCAGCUUGCAGCUAUAAUGACAAAUGUUCUUCCAAAGCAUUGAUAUUAUUAGCUACCCGCCACGCAUAUGCCCACAAAAUACAUGUAUUAUAUAAUCUAGUUUUCCGGUGGCAUUAUCAAUGUAGUGGUAUUUUUCUGGCCUGCACAUCCCUCCUGUAAUUGUCAAGUUAUGAUAAUUUCAUCAUUUUGUCAAUCAGUAACAUUCACCUGUUCUUACAAAGGUUAAAUGCUUGAUACUUAAACAUUUUAACAAUGUAACAAUAAAUAUUUGAGACUGC